rnacentral:rRNA from 1 species
GGAUAAUUUCUGGAAACGGAAACUAAAACCGGAUAGGUAAUAGAGAAGCAUUUCUGUAUUAUUAAAGAAGCCUCAAAGCUUUGAACAUGGAUGGACCUGCGGUGCAUUAGCUAGUUGGUAAGGUAACGGCCUACCAAGGCGACGAUGCAUAGCCGACCUGAGAGGGCGAACGGCCACAUUGGGACUGAGACACGGCCCAAACUCCUACGGGAGGCAGCAGUAGGGAAUUUUCGUCAAUGGGGGGAACCCUGAACGAGCAAUGCCGCGUGAGUGAAGACGGUCUUCGGAUUGUAAAGCUCUGUUGUGAGAGAGAAAGGAUAUAUAUAGGAAAUGAUAUGUAUUUGAUGGUAUCUCACCAGAAAGUCACGGCUAACUACGUGCCAGCAGCCGCGGUAAUACGUAGGUGGCGAGCGUUAUCCGGAAUGAUUGGGCGUAAAGGGUACGUAGGCGGCAUGAUAAGUCUGGAGUGAAAGGCUACAGCUCAACUGUAGUAUGCUCUGGAAACUGUCAAGCUAGAGUGCAGAAGAGGGCAAUGGAACUCCAUGUGUAGCGGUAAAAUGCGUAGAUAUAUGGAAGAACACCGGUGGCGAAGGCGGUUGCCUGGUCUGAAACUGACGCUGAAGUACGAAAGCGUGGGGAGCAAAUAGGAUUAGAUACCCUAGUAGUCCACGCCGUAAACGAUGAGAACUAGGUGUUGGG